CCUACGGGGGGCAGCAGUGGGGAAUAUUGGACAAUGGGGGGAACCCUGAUCCAGCCAUGCCGCGUGUGUGAAGAAGGCCCUCGGGUUGUAAAGCACUUUCAGUGAGGAAGAACGCCUGGUGGUUAAUACCCAUCAGGAAAGACAUCACUCACAGAAGAAGCACCGGCUAACUCCGUGCCAGCAGCCGCGGUAAUACGGAGGGUGCGAGCGUUAAUCGGAAUUACUGGGCGUAAAGCGCGCGUAGGUGGCUUGAUAAGCCGGUUGUGAAAGCCCCGGGCUCAACCUGGGAACGGCAUCCGGAACUUUCAAGCUAGAGUGCAGGAGAGGAAGGUAGAAUUCCCGGUGUAGCGGUGAAAUGCGUAGAGAUCGGGAGGAAUACCAGUGGCGAAGGCGGCCUUCUGGACUGACACUGACACUGAGGUGCGAAAGCGUGGGUAGCAAACAGGAUUAGAUACCCUUGUAGUC
rnacentral:rRNA from 1 species